UACAGAGGGUGCAAGCGUUAAUCGGAAUUACUGGGCGUAAAGCGUGCGUAGUCGGUUAUCUAAGUCGGAUGUGAAAUCCCCGGGCUCAACCUGGGAACUGCCUUUGUGACUGCAAGGCUUGAGUGCGGCAGAGGGGGAUGGAAUUCCGCGUGUAGCAGUGAAAUGCGUAGAUAUGCGGAGGAACACCGAUGGCGAAGGCAAUCCCCUGGGCCUGCACUGACGCUCAUGCACGAAAGCGUGGGGGAGCAAACAGG
rnacentral:rRNA from 1 species